CCAGAGGCCCUGGGGACAGCCCAGCCCAGCUGCUUUGGAAUGUGGUAGAAGGAAGUUUGAGAGUCUGGCUUUGGAUGGCUCUGAUGCAGGAAGUAUUAUGCAUCCGCAGGAGACAUAACCAUGCCGCCUCCCCUGACCUACGAGAGCACCGCAGCAGGACUGGAGACGGUCCUCCACUGUACCUCAGUGGCUACUCCAUCUCCAUCGGAACCCUAUGGCUGGGUUUGCACUGAACUGCUAGGAGCUGCCUGGUCAUUACAGGAUGUGGUCAGAGGCCCCGAAGUCAUCGGUUUGAGUGCCGUUCUGAGAAAGACCUAUCUCACUGUCCCUAGAUUCCAGUCACUCCUAUAAGAAUCGAUGACACUACUUUCUCCCCGUAUGUCUUAGUAAAUGAUUUAACAUCUCUG